rnacentral:lncRNA from 1 species
AAAAAGAUGAAUUAUAAUUUUAACAAGGGCAAGCAGGGCUUAAUAUAAAAUCUACAUCUGCAUAAAGUAUGAUGAACAUUCUAAUCGGAACUGAAUAAGAACGAGAUUAUCAAAUCAUACAUAUAACCCAGAGCUUGAUGCGAUCGACCCGACACCUGAAUUUCACCAUCAACGUUGGUCCACACACCCGAUGAGAUGAGGUCUGCAGCCCGAUUAUCUCUUUUUCUCGCCGCCGUUAUCCUCUUCUUCUCCCUGGCGCUCGCCUCCGAAUCCGAUCACAAGGUAAUGUACACUCUCGAUCUGUUUCAGAAAAAAAAAAACCCUAUUUUUCGGCGGCUUAAGAUUGUUCAGAUCUGAUUCAAGACAUUUUAAUCGUGAAGUUUAUUGUUUACAAUUAGUACUGAGUGAUUAACGGCCGCGAGUAAUUUUCUGUGGGCGAUUCGAUUUGUAGCUCACCCAAUGUAAAUGAUGGCUCCUUAAUUGAAAAUUAUUUUACGGCCACCAUCACAGGGUACAUCACAAUUUUCAUGUAUUUAAAUAUAUUUCGCGCUUUCUUUCUUCAAACCCUAUCAUAGCAUUUACAUAUUAAAUUUUGCGUGGGAAUUGCAAGUGUUUUUGUUUGACCAGUAUUAGAACACUAGAAGUAUGAAUUUCGUAUUUUUUUUUCUUCAAUUUUCUUGAAAGCAUUUUACUUCAUUUCAUUUUAUUUUAUCUGCUGCUGAGGUUGUUGGUUGUACACUGCCAUUGAAGUAAGAUUUGUUCCCUAAUGUGACAAAAUGGAAUCCCAAAGCCAGAUUCGACACAAAUGUCGAGUUGACAGGAGUGUAAUUUCAUAAAUGUAACACAUCAAUGGGUGUAAUUUUUCGGAUGGGACAUAUUUUAAGGGGUAAUUAUCCUGAUGUACCUAAAAUUGACGAGAUUUUAUCCUUAAACAGCCAAAGAAAAUUCGACAAUGAAUUAUGCAGUAAGUGUUUUCCACUACAAUAAUAAUAAACUAAGCCUAUUCCCAAUAUACUUUUCGAUCCAAGAAUACAUUUGCUGUCUAAUUCAUUGCAAUCAAAUCCUUUGUGACCACAUUAGGCUAAGUUAUUUUGGUCUAUCUAUCCCUCUUAUAACCUAUUCUACUAUGAUCUCAUUGUGCUUGUUAAGGGAGCUACUUAAGGUCUACUCGUCGAAGCCAUGUCCACGAAAGAAAAAUAAGGCUCUGUUUCAAUCUUAAUAGUAAAGAAAAACACAAAACAGACCUCUUCCAAUGUUCGGUCUGUGUCAACUUAUUUCUACAAGACUAGGAUAUUUUUUUUAUUUCUACUUGUUAGCAAUGCUGUGUAACAUGUGCUUCUUCUUUAUGCAAAAAUAAUCUUUGGGGGUGUUAUUACCAUCUGUUGUUGAUAUUUCCUAUUGUAGUGUGCUUAACCCACAUUGAAAAAGGUUCACUACUUUAUUAGCUAAAAGUGCUUUCUAACACACCCUUUUCCUUUCUCCUGCAGUAUCAACCUGAUGAGCAGGUCACCUUGUGGGUGAAUAAAGUAGGGCCAUACAAUAACCCCCAAGAAACAUACAAUUAUUAUAGUCUUCCCUUUUGUCAUUCACUGGUUAAUGCUGCUCACAAAGUGAG